rnacentral:tRNA from 1 species
GGCAAGAUGGCCGAGUGGUUAAGGCGCAACGUUCAGGAUUCUUCUGAGAUACACAUCAACCGUUGUCUUCGGGCGUGGGUUCGAAUCCCACUCUUGUCA